UCAGCAAUUCGACUGAUUUGCUGGKAGGUGCUGGCGAAGCAGGAUAAUGGACCUUCAUAAAUCUUUGCUGGAGAAAGACUACCCUUCUGCCUUGUCAUAAUGUGAAGUGUGAAAGGAAGUGCAAGUGGCAAAG
rnacentral:lncRNA from 1 species